rnacentral:rRNA from 1 species
GGAAGUAAAAGUCGUAACAAGGUUUCCGUAGGUGAACCUGCGGAAGGAUCAUUACCGAGUGAGGGCCCCUCGCGGCCCAACCUCCCACCCUUGUCUCCAACACCUGUUGCUUCGGCGGGCCCACCGGGGCCACCCGGUCGCCGGGGGACAUCCUGUCCCCGGGCCCGCGCCCGCCGAGGCGCUCUGUGAACCCUGAUGAAGAUGGGCUGUCUGAGUGAUAUGAAAAUUGUCAAAACUUUCAACAAUGGAUCUCUUGGUUCCGGCAUCGAUGAAGAACGCAGCGAAAUGCGAUAAGUAAUGUGAAUUGCAGAAUUCCGUGAAUCAUCGAAUCUUUGAACGCACAUUGCGCCCCCUGGCAUUCCGGGGGGCAUGCCUGUCCGAGCGUCAUUUCUGCCCUCAAGCACGGCUUGUGUGUUGGGUGUGGUCCCCCUGGGGACCUGCCCGAAAGGCAGCGGCGACGUCCGUCUGGUCCUCGAGCGUAUGGGGCUCUGUCACUCGCUCGGGAAGGACCUGCGGGGGUUGGUCACCACCACAUCUUUGUACAAGGUUGACCUCGGAUCAGGUAGGAGUUACCCGCUGAACUUAAGCAUAUCAAUAAGCGGAGGA